ensembl:misc_RNA 7SK 7SK RNA
AGGUCUGAGGGCCAUCCGGCCGCGACAUCUGUUACCCCAUUGAUCGCCAGCGUUGAUUCGGCUGAUCUGACUGGCUAGGAGGAUGUCCCCUUCCUCCCUCACCGCUCCAUGUGCAUCCCCUCCUGAAGCUGCGUGCUUGGUGGAAGAGCACCACCUUCCCUGAAUAGGGAGGACCAUCUUGGACCAAGGGUAUACAAACGAGUAGCUGUGCCCCCCUGCUAGAACCUCCAAACAAGCUCUCAAGAACAGAGACACCCAAGCCAGGUGAUGGUGGCACACGCCUUUAUUCCCAGCACUCAGGAGGCAGAAGCAAGUGGAUCUCUGUGAG